UACGUAGGUGGCAAGCGUUGUCCGGAUUUACUGGGCGUAAAGAGCGUGUAGGCGGCCAAGCAGGUCCGUUGUGAAAACUGGAGGCUUAACCUCCAGACGUCGACGGAAACCGCGUGGCUAGAGUCCGGAAGAGGAGAGUGGAAUUCCUGGUGUAGCGGUGAAAUGCGCAGAUAUCAGGAAGAACACCGAUGGCGAAAGCAGCUCUCUGGGACGGUACUGACGCUGAGACGCGAAAGCGUGGGGAGCGAACAGG
rnacentral:rRNA from 1 species